AGAUUAUACUCAAUAAAAAUUAACAGUCAUAAAAGAAGUAAAGGUGAAAUUUAAAGUAAUUCAUAACAUAUAAUCAUUGAAUUGAGAUGCCUUCCAACUUGUUAUUUAGCAAAUGAUCACAAAACCCAUUCAAAGGGAAAACAAUGCAGGCUAUCUAGUUAAAAAUUAGAAGAUAAUAACAGACUAUUUAAAUGUUUAGAUUUCCUAUGCAUCUUCUUGUAAAAAGUGAUAAUCAAAUAAAUGUUUUUUAAUAAAAAAAAAUGCAUCAUAGGACUAGGGCUGAGCAGAAUUCAGUUCA
rnacentral:misc_RNA from 1 species